GUCUAUGGCCAUGCUACCCUGAACAAGCCCGAUCCUGUCUGAUCUUGGAAGCUAAGCAGAGUUGGGCCUGAUUAGUACUUGGAUGGGAGACCACCUAGGAAGACCAGAUGCUGUAGGCG
rnacentral:rRNA from 1 species